AAGAAAUUGAAUCAGAGGUGAGUUGUUUUACAUGAAAUUUCUUUCUCUACAUUUGAAUUCUUAACAUAAUGGUCAUCCCAAGAUGACUUGUCUGCAAAACUCUACUUUGCAGUGGCUAUUACCCAUACAGUGAUUAGAACAUGAUAAAUGCCUUACAUGAUUAGGAGAUACAAAUCUGUCCUUUCAAGCUGAGCUGCCUAUGACUAUUUACUUUAUGAAAUCUUAGCUAAUUCAAUAAAUAAAUGAUCAAAAAGCAAAAGGAACCCUAAUACAGACUUUACAGGAUUCUCACUAA
rnacentral:misc_RNA from 1 species